AGUCACAGUGCACAGUGCAGGAUGAUUCACCUCAUGGUCAGCAUAAGCCCAGGUCAGGUAGGGUAGAAGGGUGCCUUGUGGGACACCAGGGAGCAGGAACUCCCCAACCUAUGCAUGUGGACCUCCCCCUGUGAAGCUCCCUUUUUUUUUUGGACAGGGUCUCACUCUGUCCCCCAGGAUGAAGUGCAGUGGUGCAAUCACAGUUCACUGCAGCCUCAACCUCCCGGACCCAAGUGAUCCUCCCAUCUCAGCUUUCAAGUACCUGCGAAUCUGGCUGCUCCACUGUUGGGUGCAUAUGUAUUCAGGAUAAGAUCUUGCAUCCCGAACAUACAAGUAAUUCCUGAGGAGUUGGCGGAGCCUCUGCCGACUCCAAGCUGAGCAUCCGAGAACUUCUGGCCCAACAGCACUCAUCAGGAAUCAGUGCAGUCUAUUUCUCCCUGGAAGCAGAGGGUCCGAAAAGUUCUGACUAGGCAAAGAGUGAGAGUGUGCAUAUCAAUUGAAGGUACUGUGACUAUUCUGUUAUUAAGUGCAUUCAAGCAGAGUGAUUCCAGUUGGUUAAGCAUUUCAUGUUUAAGACAAAACUUGAUUUAUUUAUUUAUUUUAAGUUGGAGUUUCACUCUUGUAGCCCAGGCUGGAGUGUAGUGGCUCGAUCUCAGCUCACUGCAACCUCUGCCUCCUGGGUUCAAGCAAUUCUCCUGCCUCAGCCUACUGAGUAGCUGGGACUACAGGCGUCCACCAACAUGCCCAGCUAAUUUUUAUAUUUUUAGUAGAGAUGGGGUUUCGCCAUGUUGGCCAGGGUGUCUCGAACUCUUAACAUUAGGUGAUCCACCCGCCUCGGCCUCCCAAAGUGCUGGGCCUACAGGCAUGAGCCACCAUGCCCGGCCUAGACAAAACUUUAAAAAUGCUGUGUCAUAUUUCUCUUUUAUUUCAUGUGUGCACGUUUAAAUUAUUUAGUCAGUUGCCACUACUACAACUACAGAAGUAAUGGCGUAUUUACAACUAAAAGUUUCAUUCACUUUAAAUAGAAAACAUCUCAACUGAAACUUUUAACAUUUAGCUGAUCAUUAAACAUUAGCUGAGAUGGAUCUCUUCCUGAAACAGUGUUGCCAGAGUUUUAAAAAUUAAGAGAGUUUAUGUAGGACAGUUUUAGAUGAAUGUAAAAAUUGAAGAGAGUACAGAAAAUUCUCAGACCCUCCCCCCAAAGUUUGCUUUUCUUAACCACCUUUUACAUGGGUGUGGUCCAUGCGUUACAAUGAGUGAACCAUUAUUGAUACAUUGUUAGUAUCUAAAGGCCAGAGUUUGCAUUAAGAUUCAGUCUGUGUUUUGGUAGUCUAAGGGUUUUGACAUUACAUGAGCUUCACCUAUUAACUUCUCUCCCCUUUUUCCAGAUCCCUCAGCAACCACUGAUCUUUUCACUGUCCCUCUGGUUUUUCUUUCCCAGAAAGCUUAUGUAAUUGGAAUCAUAGCAUAUGCAGCUUUUUCAGAUUGACUUAUUUCACUUAUAAUAUACAUUUAUGAUAUUUUCAUA